AACGAACGCUGGCGGCAUGCCUAACACAUGCAAGUCGAACGAGACCUUCGGGUCUAGUGGCGCACGGGUGCGUAACGCGUGGGAAUCUACCCUCAGGUUCGGAAUAACUCAGAGAAAUUUGAGCUAAUACCGGAUGAUGACGUAAGUCCAAAGAUUUAUCGCCUGAGGAUGAGCCCGCGUAGGAUUAGGUAGUUGGUGAGGUAAAGGCUCACCAAGCCGACGAUCCUUAGCUGGUCUGAGAGGAUGAUCAGCCACACUGGGACUGAGACACGGCCCAGACUCCUACGGGAGGCAGCAGUGGGGAAUAUUGGACAAUGGGCGAAAGCCUGAUCCAGCAAUGCCGCGUGAGUGAUGAAGGCCUUAGGGUUGUAAAGCUCUUUUACCCGGGAUGAUAAUGACAGUACCGGGAGAAUAAGCUCCGGCUAACUCCGUG
rnacentral:rRNA from 1 species